GCAAACUGGGGCGUCGUUCAUACCUCAGUGUCAUGUGCUUAAAGGUGUACAUGGCCUAGGACACAUUUUGUCGCUACUCACUGAGUUUCUGCAGUACAGCGUCUAAUGGAUUUUACAAACCCAGCCCAAUUUGGAAUGAUCCUCAGAAGACAAAUGGAUUCAACAGUGUAAUUAUGAACGGUCAGUCGAACAUGGUCCCAAAGGCUACAAUCACAGACACUCACCGCCCCCGCAGAUCCUCACCAUGAUUAACAGAGUUCUCAAACCAACCUGCAUUAGACAGUCCUGUCCUUCAACCCAACGAGAGGAUCGUUAUAAGCCGGCAGAUUACAGCUCUGAUGGGAACUAGCCAACUGGGUUCUUGGCCAUUAUCAGUAGCAACAACCCGGAAAGCGGCUGAGCUAACCAAUCUGACGGACUGCCUUUAGCAAUCACCUCCUAUCUGUACCUUCGGGUACCUUCCCAAGCACUCAGUUCCACGCAAGCUCAUCACUGGAGCAGUGUAGACACAUUCCCGUUUUACCGAUGAAACCACUAAGACACCAGGAAGUGGGGGAAUGCCCCCGCCAAAAUUCUAGGAGACAAGAAUUUCUGGUCUUCUGACUUCAAGUUACUAUAUCUUUGCUCAAAGAGAAAGCAAAGAAAGGAGCUUUCUUGGAACUGUCCUCAUUUAUUAUGCUAUCAUAAAUGAAUU